GAGGAUAUAGCUCAAGUGGUAGAGCACAGCUUAAUAUACGCAAGGUCCUGGGUUCAAUCCCCAGUACCUCCU
rnacentral:tRNA from 1 species